UACGUAGGGGCCGAGCGUUGUCCGGAGUUAUUGGGCGUAAAGCGCGCGCAGGCGGUCGUGACAAGUCACUUGUGAAAUCUCCGGGCUUAACUCGGAACGGUCAAGUGAUACUGUCGGACUAGAGUACAGAAGGGGCAACUGGAAUUCUCGGUGUAGCGGUGAAAUGCGUAGAUAUCGGGAGGAACACCAAUGGCGAAGGCAGCUCGCUGGGACGGUACUGACGCUGAGGCGCGAAAGCGUGGGGAGCAAACAGG
rnacentral:rRNA from 1 species